rnacentral:lncRNA from 1 species
CUUACUCCUCUCUCCUUGCUGACUGUGACCUGGACUGUGCAUCAGGGGUCCAGCCUCUGUGGGAAGAAAUAACCCAGCUUUCACAAAUGGCAGCCAGGGGCACUGGUGUUUGGUGCUUUCCAACUGGCUGCAAGACUACAACAAGGAGACACACAAUGAACAUGUGUUGCAGAAACACAAGACGUGUUGUAGGAGUGACCGAGGAAGGCCCACUGGGACCGAAAGAUUUUCAUGAAGAUGCUAUCAGGAAGUUGAAAAGGCCACUUCCAAGAUUCCAAAUGGAUUCUGAGCUCACGACGCACAUGGAGGACCACACAUGCCAAGCUACAGAUGCAAAGGUUGUAAACAUGCUGAAAAAUGUUUAAUGCCAUGCAGGCUAAUCCCCUCAUGACAAACAUGUUUUUCCAACUGUCUUGAAGGCAAGUGUGCAUUAGAAUCUGUGCCAAAGUGUGCGGGUAGCUUCGGCAAAGCCCCUUUCCUCUCUUUCCUCUCACCAAGCCUCACACAAGGGAAAGCCAGCCUGUAUGAUCAGGCAUGUCCAAAUCUCAAGUUCUGUCUGUA